AAAACUUUCAACAACGGAUCUCUAGGUUCUGGCAUCGAUGAAGAACGCAGCGAAGUGCGUAAGUAAGUGAAUUAGCAGAAUUCAGUAGAAUCAUCGAAUACUUUGAACGCACAUUGCGCCCCUCGGCAUUCCGGGGGGCAUGCCUGUUCGAGCGUCAUU
rnacentral:rRNA from 1 species